AGACCUGCCGUGCUUGCACGAGCAGGGAUAUGACCUUGGCGAGCGCCAAAACAUGAGCAAGCAGGCCGAAAGGCCGGAUUGCGAAUGAUUUGAAGCAUGGCGGGAGUGCGAAGCAGGGAGCCAUGCGC
rnacentral:sRNA from 1 species